AGUGCAUUAGCUCAGAGGUUUAGAGCAUCGUGCUUAUAGAACGCGAUGGUCGCGGGUUCAAACCCCGCAUGCACUA